AGCGAACGCUGGCGGCAGGCUUAACACAUGCAAGUCGAGCGGGCAUCUUCGGAUGUCAGCGGCAGACGGGUGAGUAACACGUGGGAACGUACCCUUCGGUUCGGAACAACUCUGGGAAACUGGAGCUAAUACCGGAUACGCCCUUAUGGGGAAAGGUUUACUGCCGAAGGAUCGGCCCGCGUCUGAUUAGCUUGUUGGUGGGGAAACGGCCUACCAAGGCGACGAUCAGUAGCUGGUCUGAGAGGAUGAGCAGCCACACUGGGACUGAGACACGGCCCAGACUCCUACGGGAGGCAGCAGUGGGGAAUAGUGGACAAUGGGCGCAAGCCUGAUCCAGCCAUGCCGCGUGAGUGAUGAAGGCCUUAGGGUUGUAAAGCUCUUUUGUCCGGGACGAUAAUGACGGUACCGGAAGAAUAAGCCCCGGCUAACUUCGUG
rnacentral:rRNA from 1 species